AGCAGUCGCCGCGGUAAUACGUAGGUGGCGAGCGUUGUCCGGAAUUAUUGGGCGUAAAGGGAGCGCAGGCGGACAUAUAAGUCCAUCUUAAAAGUGCGGGGCUCAACCCCGUGAGGGGAUGGAAACUGUAUGCCUUGAGUGCAGGAGAGGAAAGCGGAAUUCCCAGUGUAGCGGUGAAAUGCGUAGAUAUUGGGAGGAACACCAGUGGCGAAGGCGGCUUUCUGGACUGCAACUGACGCUGAGGCUCGAAAGCCAGGGGAGCGAACGGGAUUAGAUACCCCUGUAGUCCCUGUCUCUUAUACA
rnacentral:rRNA from 1 species